UUGUGGAAUUCUGCAUUAAGGCUUGGUUCCUCACAGCACAUGGAUUUGGGCUACUAGACUGAAUCUCAUGGAGGGGAAUUCUCAUACCUUCAUGCCAUGAUGAGCGAGUCAUGUUUAAUUUAUAGUGGUCGUGGAAGUGAUAAGUUCUCAUAUCAGGCCCCAUUGACAUGCCUUUAUCCACCAUCUAGUACUUUGUGGAUGCAUCUCUCCCUCCAGUCCUUAGACAUUGGAAGUUCCUUUUUGCUCAAUGAAAAGAUUGAUGUUUGACUGUUUCUUAAGAAGAAAGGAUAUUCAACUAAUGAUAGCGCAAGUUAAAAGAGUUGGGAAUCAAAUACAAGUUCUCUCACUUCUCCAUCCCGAUGUUGCUCUUGUUAGAAGGCUGCCUUUUGAAUGAUAGAGACAGAGCAAUGUCUAUGGGUUUGGAGUUUUGCUGCUGGAGCUCUUAACUGGGCUGAAACCUUUUGACAGUACCUGCCUGCUCAGUUUAUUACUCAAAAAACUCCCUUUCAAAUUCAGGUUACUGAAAUCAACCAAGAUUCCAAACCCCGCCCGUCUUCAACCUUAGUUGCAGGAUCCUUGUAAUAGGUGCCGCUCCCGCUUCGAGUCAUGCUUCGGACUCGUGUUCAUGUCCCACUUCCUAGACAUUUAUACUUGAUAACAUUUGCGGACAGACGCUUUCCUGCUCUUACAUCUGAAUCUGUUGUCUCGCUUGCCUCACGCUUCAUGCAACCAUAUUUCCGCCACGCCACCAGUCUAUGAAAAGAUACUCUUGCUUGGUCUUGCUUAAUUAUAUUCAGAAAGUUCAAAAAAUUGUACUGGAUGCAUUUAUAGAAAUCAUAAUACUCGCAAAGUACAAAUGGUUGAAGUUGCCAUCAGUGAAAGUCUAACCGGUCUUUGAUAUGGAGGAAUGUUAUAAACGUUGAUGGUCAAUGUUAUGUUGAAUGUAAUUUGAGAAUGUGUUCCCAAACUUAUAUUUGAUUCCUUUCCUUGUGUGUGCUUGCAUUUCUUGCAGUUUUUGGUACUUGGGUCACUUGAUUUCACAUAAUAGUUAUCUCUUCUCCUUUUGUUUGUUAAGAGAUUCAUGUUAAACAAAACUUGAGCAAUUCCUUCAUGAAUAUCCUGUCUCAGUUCAGGAAGACUACAAUGCCUUUUAUACACUGUCAUGAUUUGCAUCCAUAUACAUAUUCUCAAAUACCAAUAUCAUGACAUGUAUUACCUUAUAGGUGCAUGUUGAUGGGAAAUGGAUGAUUGAUGAGCUUUUAAUUUUCCAUUUAUAUAUUUUUCAGAUUUUUUGAUAAUUUAAGAAAAUCAGAAAAUCUUACAAUUUGUGGUACGGUAGCGAUUUUGAGAACAUUGUGCUAUUCGUAAGUGAUGGACCACAGUGGAAAAGGCUAUGAAUUUCACAUGGCAACUUUAAGAGAGAUGGGAGUUCUUAAUUUAUGGGAUUCUCAAGAGUCGAGAGCUCCUAUAAUAUAAAGAAUCAAUACUCAUUAGGCAUGCAUAUGUUAUUAUGUAAAUUAAUGAAAACAUCUAGUACAUGGGAGUCCAACCAAUCAAUACUCAUCAACUUCAGUGUGAUGUUGGGUGAUUUUACAGCGAGCUAUAUAUGGUAGUGUUUGAUUGACCUUUUGAAAAAAAAAGGUUGUGUUUGUAUGGAGGAAAUGUCAUGUGUUCAACCCUGCAAUACAGGUGGGAUCCUACUCUUGGAUUAUCCAGUCAAUCUGAUUGUUAGACUAUUUUCCUAUGUUAGCCAAGUAUGCAUAUGGGUGUCAAGUAUUACAAGGAUCAGUUUGGCAGAUCCUCAAAAUGCAAAUUCUCAGUAGACGAUCACAACAAAGAUUGGUAGGAGGAAGGCAUGUCGGUCAAUCCAACUUUCAAUGUGUCAGUUAUAUUUGGUAAACGUGAUGAGGUACUGUGACCACAUAUCUGCUGUUGUAUUUUCUUGUUUUUGGGACAAAAAGAUCUUGAUACUUGUAAAACCAUGAUGCUUGCAGCCGAUGCUGCUAGCAUGCGCAUGCCAACUGAUCGAGCUCAUAAGGUACACUUUUGUGCUUGAUUUUAUUUAAAUAAAUUCCAAAUGGUGGAGAGCAAGGUUUCAAGACUCCAGGACUCGGACUGACUCAUUCAGUCCCGAGUGAAGUUGUGAUUCAUGUGUCAAGGUGUGGUUCAGAAGAGUUGGGCCGAGUCACUUCUAUUUUCAGUUUGACUCCUGGUGUUGAACUGGAGCUGAAACUGAGUUGAGUCGACUUGGAUGAGUCACAUCCGACUCGGUCGAGUAUUGAUGCAUGGUGAAGGCUGAAUUGGAGGAUUGAAAUUUCGGUAGACGGCAAAAGUUACCAUACCACCCACAUGAUCCUUCCUAGAAAAAGGAAAGUGAGUUGAACAUGGACAAAGAAUGCUGUGAGGCUGAAAUGGUAAAUAUCUAAGGUGAGAUAGUCCUGAUCGACUCAUUAAAAGGAAAAUUAAGGUAAGAGUUUGUAUGUACCUCAUGGUUAGCUUCUUCCAAGGCCUGCAUAAUGACCUUGGGAUUUUGAAGGAGCAUGGGAAAUGCUACUCAUGCCGAGCAAUCUAGCAUAUUCCACUAGAAAACAUGGUUGAGAUGCGAACAUUCUUGUUUUAACUGUGCUUUUCUACUAGCACAUCCUGGUGGUCGUGUAUCCUA